UGGGGAAUAUUGCACAAUGGGCGCAAGCCUGAUGCAGCCAUGCCGCGUGUGUGAAGAAGGCCUUCGGGUUGUAAAGCACUUUCAGCGAGGAGGAAGGUGGUGAGCUUAAUACGCUCAUCAAUUGACGUUACUCGCAGAAGAAGCACCGGCUAACUCCGUGCCAGCAGCCGCGGUAAUACGGAGGGUGCAAGCGUUAAUCGGAAUUACUGGGCGUAAAGCGCACGCAGGCGGUUUGUUAAGUCAGAUGUGAAAUCCCCGGGCUCAACCUGGGAACUGCAUUUGAAACUGGCAAGCUAGAGUCUCGUAGAGGGGGGUAGAAUUCCAGGUGUAGCGGUGAAAUGCGUAGAGAUCUGGAGGAAUACCGGUGGCGAAGGCGGCCCCCCUGGACGAAGACUGACGCUCAGGUGCGAAAGCGUGGGGCAGCAAACAGGAUUAGAUACCCUGGUAGUCCAGCGCUGUAAACGAUGUCGAUUUGGAGGUUGUGCCCUUGAGGCGUGGCUUCCGGAGCUAACGCGUUAAAUCGACCGCCUGGGGAGUACGGCCGCAAGGUUAAAACUCAAAGGAAUUGACGGGGUCAUAGCUGUUU
rnacentral:rRNA from 1 species